GAGAGUGAGUGAGUGGGUUUGAUAUGGCUAUUGAGUCAUUUCUAUCGAUAAGACAGAAGCUUUUUGAUAAGCAGCCAAAGUUGGGUUAGGUCAAGGAAAAAAAAAUUUUCUUAUCGGAGCUUGUUUUUGCUUUUAAUUUCCUACACGGUGUGCUGUUUAUGAUUACCAAACUACCCGCAGCGCUGUGUAAAUACGGUUGCAGAAGCAGUCGAAGGAGCAGAAGGAGCCGCACUUUCGAUCUCUGUCUGUGGCAUUUGGAUGAUUAAUGUGUUUACACGAGCAGCGACCGUUGCGGUUGAGUCUGAUUUGAAAGGGUUAAAAGGCGUAAACACAUAGACACACACUCACACACACUCACACCCACGAUUUACACGCACACACACACAGCAAAAUACUGUUUAUUUAUUAUUCCUUCAUUGGAAUUUACUCUCACAUGGGAGCAAGAUAUUAAAAACGCUCAGUUGACCUUUUACCCAUUUUUUCA